GACGAACGCUGGCGGCGUGCUUAACACAUGCAAGUCGAACGGAAAGGCCCUGCUUUUGUGGGGUGCUCGAGUGGCGAACGGGUGAGUAACACGUGAGUAACCUGCCCUUGACUUUGGGAUAACUUCAGGAAACUGGGGCUAAUACCGGAUAGGAGCUCCUGCUGCAUGGCGGGGGUUGGAAAGUUUCGGCGGUUGGGGAUGGACUCGCGGCUUAUCAGCUUGUUGGUGGGGUAGUGGCUUACCAAGGCUUUGACGGGUAGCCGGCCUGAGAGGGUGACCGGCCACAUUGGGACUGAGAUACGGCCCAGACUCCUACGGGAGGCAGCAGUGGGGAAUAUUGCACAAUGGGCGGAAGCCUGAUGCAGCAACGCCGCGUGCGGGAUGACGGCCUUCGGGUUGUAACCCGCUUUCGCCUGUGACGAAGCGUGAGUGACGGUAAUGGGUAAAGAAGCACCGGCUAACUACGUG
rnacentral:rRNA from 1 species